AGUGAACGCUGGCGGCAGGCCUAACACAUGCAAGUCGAACGGCAGCGCAGCAGUAGCAAUACUGUGGGCGGCGAGUGGCGGACGGGUGAGGAAUACAUCGGAAUCUACCUUGUCGUGGGGGAUAACGGAGGGAAACUUACGCUAAUACCGCAUACGACCCACGGGUGAAAGCGGCGGACCGCAAGGCGUCGCGCGAUUGGAUGAGCCGGUGUCCGAUUAGCUAGUUGGCGGGGUAAAGGCCCACCAAGGCGACGAUCGGUAGCUGGUCUGAGAGGACGAUCAGCCACACUGGAACUGGGACACGGUCCAGACUCCUACGGGAGGCAGCAGUGGGGAAUUUUGGACAAUGGGCGCAAGCCUGAUCCAGCAAUGCCGCGUGCAGGAAGAAGGCCUUCGGGUUGUAAACUGCUUUUGUACGGAACGAAAAGGCUCUGGUUAAUACCUGGGGCUCAUGACGGUACCGUAAGAAUAAGCACCGGCUAACUACGUGCCAGCCGCCGCCGUAAGAC
rnacentral:rRNA from 1 species